UCUAAAUAAAAAAAACAUUCUUUUGUAAAUGUAAUGGUUUUGAGUAUGAUAUGAUGUGUUUCGUUUUUAAUGGUACUUAGUAUACAUCAUGGGACAUACACUUAGAAGAUAUCAUGUGACGUUUUGCUGCCUUGUUAUGAAUGUUGAUACUUAUUUGAAGAUUUGUUAUGGUAUCACCAUGGCUACUAGUACAAUUCUUUGUGAUCCAUGUUCAGUACGACACAUAACUAAACCAUCAACACCCUGGUGCUCAAAAUGUGAAGAAGCUAUUUGUGAUGAAUGCCAAGAACAUCACAAAGUACUCAAAGCCACACGAAGUCACGAACUCAUACCAAUUGCCAAGUACAAAUCUCGUCCGUCCUUCAUUACUGAUAUACAGCAGUCAUGUACCUAUCACAAUGAAAGGUAUCAACAAUAAUGUGUUGCGCAUGCGUUACCUUUUUGUUUCAAAUGCAUUAAAGAACAACAGAAAUUGAAGAAGAAGUCACUAAUAACCCGAAGACAUCUGUGCACUUUCAAGAUUUAGAAACUAGACUGAUGGACUUAUUACAGAACAUUGAUAGAAUUAGGAAGGACUGAAAGGCUAAUUUGGAAAGUAUUGAAGAAAGGAAGGAUCUACAUCUUGCAGAAAUUCAACAAAUAAGAAACCAAAUACAAAAAACAUUUAGACAAACUUGAAAAAGAAAUGAUACAAGAUUUUGAGAAAAAAAAGUGUCAAUUUAAGAAAAAUAUUCAGAAGAUUUUUUCAUCAGUUCAAGAAAAGGAAAACUUGAUAACAGAAUAUCAGAAAAAUCUCCAAAGCACCAAACAACAUGCUUCAAAUCUUCAAACAGUUCUAGUAAUGUGAGAUAUUGAGAUGGAGGUUUUUGAAAAUGAACAAUAUUUGGAAUCGUUGAUAGAAACCAAACAAUUGGAACAAGUCGACCUGGAUUUUAGGGUAGACCCAGGGAUGAUGAACAUCUUGAAUAGUUUAAAGAAUUUUGGAUCAGUUGAAAUAAAAACGACGUCGAGAAACAUUUGUUUUACAAAAGUGAACGAUAAACAAGCACAGUUUCAACGAAAGCCUUUAACGAUUUGAAUUUAGUUCUACAGAAGUAAACUACGACAGAUGGUGAAGUUGUUAGAGGUUGUUGCAUGUCAGUUAAUGGCGAGUAUGUUUUCACAGAUCACCACUCGAGAAAAAAGUUUAAUGUUAUUGCGUCAGAUGGUACAUUUAAAUAUGAGAUAAUGCUUAGUCCUAGUGAAGGGUUUGACAUAUCAUUUAUCGAUGAGAAAACUAUCGCUAUCACAUCUGGAAGUUCCUUUAAGAAGAUUGGAAUUGACAUAAUAGACACCGUGAGCCGAAAGAAAUAAUUUCAUCAACCUUCCUGCUCGUUCAUGGGGAAUCACACGUGAUCACGACUCUUUGUUUAUUUGUGUUAAACGACGUGAUAUAUAUAAAUUAAAUACUGUUGAUUAAACUACCUCUCACGUGAUUAGUUGUUACUUACUGUGAGGUUCCGACGUAUCUGUAUUCCCCGACAAGCUUUACUACACUGAAUGGAAUAAUCAAAGUGUAGUUUGUUGUGAUCCUUAUAUAUCACGUGUUUGGACUUUUAGGGAUACUUCAGUUUUGAAAUAUCCAAAAGACAUCACUGAAGAUAAUGAUGAAAACGUGUUUGUUGUCGGGGAGACUUCUUCGAAUGUUGUCAUUAUAUCAAACGAUAAAAAACACCACAGACAAAUUCUCAACACAAAUGAUGGUCUCUGUCUACCGUGUGCUAUCUUCUUUGAUAAGCAGACCAGUAAACUUCUUUUUGCGAACACAAAAACAAACUGCGUUCCUUUACAGUGUUACUCAGAAUGAUUGAAAUAAAAUCACUUACAUCACAA